rnacentral:rRNA from 1 species
AGUGAACGCUGGCGGUAGGCCUAACACAUGCAAGUCGAACGGCAGCACAGUAAGAGCUUGCUCUUACGGGUGGCGAGUGGCGGACGGGUGAGGAAUACAUCGGACUCUACUUUUUCGUGGGGGAUAACGUAGGGAAACUUACGCUAAUACCGCAUACGACCUACGGGUGAAAGCAGGGGAUCUUCGGACCUUGCGCGAUUGAAUGAGCCGAUGUCGGAUUAGCUAGUUGGCGGGGUAAAGGCCCACCAAGGCGACGAACCGUAGCUGGUCUGAGAGGAUGAUCAGCCACACUGGAACUGAGACACGGUCCAGGCUCCUACGGGAGGCAGCAGUGGGGAAUAUUGGACAAUGGGCGCAAGCCUGAUCCAGCCAUACCGCGUGGGUGGAGAAGGCCUUCGGGUUGGAAAGCCCUUUUGUUGGGAAAGAAAAGCAGCAGGUUAAUACCCCGCUGUUCUGACGGUACCCAAAGAAUAAGCACCGGCUAACUUCGUG